rnacentral:rRNA from 1 species
ACGAACGCUGGCGGCGUGCUUAACACAUGCAAGUCGUACGGAAAGGCCCUGCUUUUGUGGGGUGCUCGCGUGGCGAACGGGUGAGUAACACGUGAGUAACCUGCCCUUGACUUUGGGAUAACUUCAGGAAACUGGGGCUAAUACCGGAUAGGAGCUCCUGCUGCAUGGUGGGGGUUGGAAAGUUUCGGCGGUUGGGGAUGGACUCGCGGCUUAUCAGCUUGUUGGUGGGGUAGUGGCUUACCAAGGCUUUGACGGGUAGCCGGCCUGAGAGGGUGACCGGCCACAUUGGGACUGAGAUACGGCCCAGACUCCUACGGGAGGCAGCAGUGGGGAAUAUUGCACAAUGGGCGGAAGCCUGAUGCAGCAACGCCGCGUGCGGGAUGACGGCCUUCGGGUUGUAAACCGCUUUCGCCUGUGACGAAGCGUGAGUGACGGUAAUGGGUAAAGAAGCACCGGCUAACUACGUG